UACGAAGGGGGCUAGCGUUGCUCGGAAUCACUGGGCGUAAAGGGUGCGUAGGCGGGUCUUUAAGUCAGGGGGGAAAUCCUGGAGCUCAACUCCAGAACUGCCUUUGAUACUGAAGAUCUUGAGUUCGGGAGAGGUAAGUGGAACUGCGAGUGUAGAGGUGAAAUUCGUAGAUAUUCGCAAGAACACCAGUGGCGAAGGCGGCUUACUGGUCCGGUUCUGACGCUGAGGCGCGAAAGCGUGGGGAGCAAACAGG
rnacentral:rRNA from 1 species